CCCAAACAACCAGAACAAACCACAAAAGAGAGAUGGUCACUUAGUGAGAAAACAGGACUGAGUGGGGGAGUGCUUGAGCCUGCCACUUGCAGCUAUGAUGAAUGAUGGGCUGAACUGCUCUGCUCCCCCACUCUGCAGCUGGCAGAUGGAGUGCUGAAGUGGCCUCUGGGACUGAAACAUCUGGGAGAGGAAGCCUUUGCUACAGGGUGCAUGGGAACUGGAUCAACGACUCUUCAUAACUUCUUCAAGCUGAACAUGGGUGAUGAGAUAUUGUGGUGGGGGGAAGAAAAUAGAAUUUAUCAGUCUCCUGAUGUCUGUGUUUUGACUGGAUCCAGUUGAAGUCUGGAGUUCAGAAUAACUCAAAAAAGGAGAAAAUGGAAAUACACAGCUGUUAAAUAAAAGUUUUCUAACUUCAGGCUAA